AUGCUGAUGACGAUAGGAUUGAACUCCUCUUGUCCCAAGUCAAGGGCAAGGAUAUCACUGAGCUGAUUGCAAGCGGCAGGGAAAAGUUGGCUUCAGUACCUGCUGGUGGUGGUGGUGCAGUUGCUGUUGCUGCACCUGCCGGUGGAGCUGCUGCAGCACCAGCUGCCGAGGAGAAGAAAGAGGAAAAGAAGGAAGAGAAAGAGGAAUCUGAUGAAGUGAGAUGUUCCACCCAAUUUUAUGAGAAUGUUUCUUGCUUAAUAUCGCGUAUUUAUGCUAACAUGGUUGUCUGGUUUCAAUACUUUGCAGGACA
rnacentral:lncRNA from 1 species